UCUGCUCCGAGAGUUGCUGCAGGUGUCGUAUGUGGGUCAAUAGGAGGCAGAGAAGGGAGAGGCUAUGUUUAUGCACAGCGUUCAGUGUUCUCACCUGUGAAUGUCGAAAUGAUUACUAACUGGCCUCACACU
ensembl:snoRNA LOC120102724 small nucleolar RNA SNORA17